rnacentral:misc_RNA from 1 species
GCGACUCGUUUGUUGUCAUGGUUUGAUGAUUUAAUUUCAAGAUUAUUUCAUGUAUCUUAUAAAAGAGACAAUUGAUGUUUUAAUUUUUGUAUGUUUAAAAAAAAAAUUGUUUACCAUUUUUUAAAUGCUUUGAAUAAUAACUAACAAUAUGUAUAAUAAACUUAUAUACUGUGGUUUUUUUUUUAUUUUGGGGUGUUUUUAGAAGUUAGAAUUCUUAGAUGUUUUUCAUGUUUAACAAUAGAGGGAUUUUUUAAAUAAUGCUCUGGUGUUGAAUGUACCCUUGUGAGAUUUUUCCAAAAAGAUUUGAUUAUUAUAUUUUAUGUAAAGAUGAGAACUGUAUUCAAUAAAAUUCAAGUCCUUUUUGUAUAUUUUUUAUAAAAAGUUUAAUAAAAAAAAUUAUUCUU